AUAAAUUUGUAAAAUUUCUAGCACUUACAUUCGGUUAAUAAAAAAAGGAUUUUUAAAUCGAGCAAUGGGCUUAACUAAUGGGCUCUUGAAAGCCCUGGGAAUCCAGACUUUCUCCUAUAAAUAUACAAAAACCUAGAAUUGUUCUCAUCCCAUGCUUCUGUGUCUUCCAGCACUGAAUCUCCAAUCUGCAGCCGUCAUAAAAAUCACAUAAGCCAAAUAUCUCAUCAAUAUUUCUCCUCAAUUUGCAUUUCAUGUUGCUUUUGUUAUUUAAGUGCCUAAGCAAAUGGGUUAUGAUUUGAAAGAGAGAGGCUUGAGUGGGAUCUCAGCAACAAUCAAGACCCAUCUCAAUCAAAAGGGUAAGAAGAUGGGAUGCAAGGCAAAGAAGAAGAUGCCGCCACUCUUCUCCAAGAGUUGUGCUUGGUUGUCUCCAAUUUGUCAUUUUCCCCUCUUUCUUGCCCUUUUUUUAUUUGGGUUUUUCCCACGAUGACGGUUCUUUCAAUCUUUUACACUUGAUAUGAACCCAAAUCUCAAGAUUUUUGCUUUGUAAUAUUAGUAAUAGCUCUUGUUUGGUUUAAUUACAAUUGCAUUUGUUGUUUUUGUUGUGAGGAAGCACAUUGUUUUUGUUUUCUCACUGAACAACAGUGCGACAGAGAAAGCCUGAUUGCUACCUGUUUUCUCAAAGCAGAGUGCUGUUUUUGGGAAAGUAGGCAUGUGAUUAUGCAGCGGCCAGACAACCGUAGGGAUGGAAUCCACAGAUGGCGGGUGUUUGAUGCCGCUUUGUCUACUAAAUCCCAUCUCACAUCCAAUUUUAAUUGAUGGGAAAUUACUCCUAUGACAGGCAUAACGGAAAUAGUGCCUGAAAGGAAAUCACCCACAAGUUGUUUGAUGAUAUGCCUAAAAGACUUCAACCCACGUACUAUAAACUUGUAUGUGGUCCAUUGGUCGGCUAAAUCGGCUUUAAUGAAUGUCGGCAAGAAGAGAGAAUUCUAUCCUUGCCAAUCCAUUUUUCACCCCUCUAAGAUAAAGAGUUCACUGAUGCAAACCAAUAGAAGGCCAACAGUAUAGAACAGCCCAUGGUCCAUCUAACUCGGUUUAAAAAUUUACAGAGCUCAGAGGAAGAAACGCCUCAGAUUGAAUAUGAGGCUGAUACCGAUGACUUGUUCAAGGUUGCAGCCCUCUGCCACUCUUCUCCAUCUCAACAAGGCAUCGCAACUGCAAGAAGCAACAAAGAUAUAGAUGCAUUUCCCUCGAGCAACCAGGAUUUGGGAACAUAACUGCCCAAAAAGAUGGGAGCUUUUUCUCUAGUCGAACCACGAGGGUCUCGAACAGGCCAACCAUGGAUCAUUCACCAAACGGCCCAGGGAGCAAUCACAUGUAAGAACUCUAAACGGCUCUUCAAUCUCAUUUAGCAUUAGGAGGCUAGCCAAACAUGCAAGGUUGGCACUUUGCAAAUUUUAGGCUAUGUUUAGUAUAAUAUAAAGCUAUAUAAUGGAAUCAAAAUUUCUGUUUGAGAUUUAUUUAGAAAAUUUAAUUGUAUUAUAUUAUAUUACGAAUACUGAAUGUAACAUUAGUGAUGCGAGUCUCC